ACGUAGCUCGGCGAUCGGAGCCGGAGAUUCGCUAGCCCAGAGCCCUGCGCGGCCGCCCGCCGGCCUCCCGCCAGCGGGUCCCGACCCGCGGCUUCACCGCGGAGCCGCGCCCGAGCCAACCUCUCCGCAGGAAAUGAUGAAGGGAGACACCAGACAUCUCAAUGGAGAGGAGGACGCCAGCGGGAGGGAGGACUCUAUCAUCAUCAACGGGGCCUGCAGUGACCAUUCCUCGGACUCACCCCCGAUCCUGGAGGCUAUCCGCACCCCGGAGAUCAGAGGCCGCAGGGCAAGUGCACGGCUGUCCAAGAGGGAGGUCUCCAGUCUGCUAAGCUACACUCAGGAUCUGACGGGCGGAGAUGGAGAUGGAGAAGGGGAGGAUGGGGAUGGCUCCGACAUACCAGUGAUGCCAAAGCUUUUCCGUGAAACCAGGACUCGUUCUGAAAGCCCAGCUGUCCGAACCCGAAAUAGCAACAGUGCCUCCAGGUGGGAGAGGCACAAGCCCUCCCCACGUACUACCCGAGGCCGACAGGGCCGCAAUCAUGUGGACGAGUCCCCUGUGGAGUUCCCGGCUACCAGGUCCCUGAGGCGGCGGGCAACAGCAUCGGUUGGCACACCAUGGUUAUCCCCUGCCAGCCCUUACCUGACCAUUGACCUCACAGAUGACACCAAUGACACCGAGGUGACACCCCAGAGCAGCAGUACCCCCUACCCCCGCCUAGUCCAGGACAGCCAGCAGGAUAGCUUCGAGUCCCCACAGGUGGAUGCAGAAAGGAGAAACACAGACAGUGCUGAGUAUCAGGAUGGGAAGGAAUUCGGAAUAGGGGACCUUGUGUGGGGAAAGAUCAAGGGCUUCUCCUGGUGGCCUGCCAUGGUAGUGUCAUGGAAGGCCACCUCCAAGCGACAGGCCAUGUCCGGCAUGCGAUGGGUCCAGUGGUUUGGUGAUGGCAAAUUCUCUGAGGUCUCUGCAGAUAAACUGGUGGCCCUGGGGCUGUUCAGCCAGCACUUUAACCUGGCCACCUUCAAUAAGCUGGUUUCUUACAGGAAGGCCAUGUAUCAUGCCCUGGAGAAAGCCAGGGUGCGAGCUGGCAAGACAUUCCCCAGCAGCCCUGGAGACUCAUUGGAAGACCAGCUGAAGCCCAUGCUGGAGUGGGCCCACGGGGGCUUCAAGCCCACUGGCAUCGAGGGCCUCAAACCCAACAACAACCAACCAGAGAACAAGACAAGAAGACGAACAGCUGAUGACUCAGCUACCUCUGACUAUUGUCCUCCACCCAAGCGCCUCAAGACAAAUUGCUACAACAAUGGCAAAGACCGUGGGGAGGAAGACCAGAGCCGAGAACAAAUGGCAUCAGAUGUCGCCAACAACAAGAGCAAUCUAGAAGACAGUUGCCUAUCUUGUGGCAAGAAGAACUCCGUGUCCUUCCACCCUCUCUUUGAGGGGGGGCUCUGUCAGACCUGCAGGGAUCGGUUCUUGGAGUUGUUCUACAUGUACGACGACGAUGGCUAUCAGUCUUACUGCACCGUGUGCUGUGAGGGCUACGAGCUGCUGCUCUGCAGUAACACAAGCUGCUGUCGGUGCUUCUGUGUGGAGUGCUUGGAGGUGCUGGUGGGCCCUGGCACAGCGGCGGAGGCCAAGCUCCAGGAGCCCUGGAGCUGCUACAUGUGUCUGCCACAGCGCUGUCACGGCAUCCUGCGGCGUCGGAAGGACUGGAACAUGCGCCUGCAGGCCUUCUUCACCAGCGACAUGGGGCAUGAAUAUGAAGCCCCCAAGCUGUACCCUGCAAUUCCUGCAGCCCGAAGGCGGCCCAUUCGAGUUCUGUCUCUGUUUGAUGGAAUCGCAACAGGGUACUUGGUCCUCAAAGAAUUGGGCAUAAAGGUGGAAAAGUAUGUCGCCUCUGAAGUGUGUGAAGAGUCCAUUGCUGUUGGAACCGUUAAGCAUGAGGGGAAUAUCAAAUAUGUGAACGACGUGAGAAACAUCACUAAGAAAAAUAUUGAAGAAUGGGGCCCAUUUGACUUGGUGAUUGGUGGAAGCCCAUGCAAUGAUCUCUCAAAUGUGAAUCCUGCUAGGAAAGGCUUGUACGAGGGGACAGGUCGGCUCUUCUUUGAGUUCUACCACCUGCUGAAUUAUUCGCGCCCCAAGGAGGGUGAUGACCGACCGUUCUUCUGGAUGUUUGAGAAUGUAGUAGCCAUGAAGGUUGGAGACAAGAGGGACAUCUCUCGCUUCUUGGAGUGCAAUCCGGUGAUGAUUGAUGCCAUAAAAGUAUCUGCUGCUCACAGGGCACGUUAUUUCUGGGGCAACCUUCCAGGGAUGAACAGGUAACAAGGGGCUCCCAGUGGGACAGGUACCAGCCAAGUGAUAAAGCUAAUGAUGUCAGCUUUGAUGUUUGACCUUUCUAGAAAGAGCUGACUGUGCUGAAAAGUGGCCUCAACUUGGUUUUCAGACCAUCAUACAUGGGUGAUCCCUGUUAAGUUGUACAGCAAAUACCUGGAAAUCUCAGAAGGACUCCUCAUUUCUAGUCUGACUUGCUAAAGCUAGAGAUGGGCCUGAUCUUUUAAGUCCCAUAUAUUGGAGCCGGAUCUAACAUCUAUACCCUAUCUUUUCUCAGAUUUUCAUAAUCAAGAACAUUUCACAUAUUUUUUUUUAUUCUAUAUCAAAGGUAGCUCAGUCUUCUUUAGAUGGAUGGCUUUGCUGAGAUUAAUCUAUACAGGUGGUUUUAAGAAGAGCACCUUGCUAAUUUAUGUGCAAAAUGUGAUGGUGCUAUGACAUCCCAGACUUACAAAUGAAAUAAGCUUAAAACAUUUUCCUUUAGAAGGAAGUGUUGGAAGCAUAAUAACUUUCUGGCAGUUACCAGAGGUGAGAGGGUUCUGGGAUAACUUUGAGGAUUUCCAUUGGCUAGCCUGCAUUUUUACUUGGCCAUUAUUUUGCGAUUAAAUGGUCUUAUCAACUCAACACUUGAGCUCAAUCUGCCAGAUCGUGUUAUACUGAUGCCAUUUUAGUGAAACACUGAUGUCAUUUUUGGCUCUCAUGGAGUUGACAUGUUAAUGGUGUAGAAAACAGUAAUGAUUUGGGGUUCAUUGCUGGAGGAGGGCACUGGGGAAGGGUUGAUUGGGAAGGGUUCUCAUUCCAACAGGGUCCUAAGUGAAGAAAUGGAGCCGUGCAGUUAUUAGAGCACACUCCAUGCUGAAAGAAUUGGUUAAGGGAGGUUGGAGAGGCUGCGAGAGAAGGAUGGAGAACUGUAGGCAUUGGGCCAAAUAACAUGGGCCUCACAUGUAAUACCACUUAAAUUCUGUUUGGCAUGGGAAGUUACAGGGGAUUUAAGCAGAUGAGAUGACUAGUGUCUCAGGUUUAUGGUAGUUUCUGGACAAGUGAGAUGGCUGGACACAUGAGUUGGUAUCUGGGGUCUGCAGCCAGCAAUCCUGUGGAUUAGUAGUUAGACUGAGGCACAAGGCUGGGACUGAGCUAUAGAGGCUCAGGGUCAGUGUGUCAAGUAUCUGCCAGAGGACAGCAUCCCAAAUCAUCUGUUUUGUUUUGAAUCUUAAAGUAUCAGCACAAGGCAGGCCUGUGCUGUCUUUUUUUCCUCCCGUCCCUCUGCUCCCUUGGGUCCAUGGAUUGGAGGCAAUCGGUUUUUGCAGUUUCCGGCUGGGGCUGGGUUUGAACCCACCACCUCUGGCAUAUGGGGCCGGUGCCCUACUCCUCUGAGCCACAGGUGCCGCCCCGUGGAGGCAGUUGGGAUGGUGCUAGAUGGGGUGGCAUUUGAAAACUGGCGUGUGAGGCCAAGGAAAGCUGAUAGUCUAGGGAAAUAUUUUGUGUGGUUCCUAGCCCCUCUUGUGGGCACUAUUUUCGUUCUCACAUCUGAGUUCUAUUUGGCCUUGACAUGCCUAAAACAGGGAUUUACUGUCAUCAGCUCUGCAUUCAGGCCUCUUCCACUGGUGUCUGCUUUGGAGCUGCUCAAAUACUUUCAGUUCUGUCCCUUCCCCUUCUUAGGCCUCUGUGCAUUUGCAAAAUAGAUUUCAAGGGUGAAAGUUAAUAAGGCAAUUUAAAAAAACUAUUAGAAAAUAUAGGUUUUGUGAACCAACUCCUGUCCUUUCUAAUGAAAAUGCCCAGUACUGCCUGGGCAUGGUGGCUAAUGCCUGUAGUCCUAGCACUCUGGGAGGCUGAGGUUGGAAGGAUCCCAGACCAGCCUGAGCAAGAGAGAGGCUCCUUCUCUAUUAAAAAUAAAUGAACUAAAAAAAAAAUGAACUAGUGGGGCAACAGGGUGGGUGCCUGUAGUCCCAGCUACUUGGGAGAGUGAGGAGUUUGAGGUUGCUGUGAUGUAGGCUGAGGCCAUGGCACUCUAGCUGAGGCAACAGAGUGAGACUCUGUCCCCUCCCAAAAUAAAUAAAUAUCCACUACUUCAAAGCCUCUGUAGGCUGCACCCCUAGCAGUGAGCCACCAAAUUGUGGGUGUGCUGGUUGUAUUAAAUAGACUGUAAAGAUUUAAGUUCCUCACUUUAAUGUAGAUACUAAGCCCAAAGGCUGGUGACUUGCUCAUGGUCAUUUGGCCAGUGAGCAUUGGGGCUGGUCACCUGAAGGAGUCUUUUGAUUCCCUGUCCAGAGUUUUCGCUUGUGUUGGUUGGUGGCUGCCUUUGACUAGUUGUGAAAGUCAGGAAGGGAGAACUUUACCUUCAGACUGUUGUGGUCUGUCCCCUUUAGGAACUAGUCCAUCCCUGGCUUUGGCAUGCAGACUUGUGCUCAUGCCAGGGUCAUUUUGGUCAUGUAGCAAGUUCACUGCCAGGGCACACCUCACUCCCACCUGUGAGGUGCCUAGCCAAUGACCCUCUACAGGCGGUAGAAAGUAAUGGGUUUUGGCUGUUCCCAGGCCGGUGAUAGCAUCAAAGAAUGAUAAACUCGAGCUUCAAGACUGCUUGGAAUACAAUAGGACAGCAAAGGUAAGACAUGCACAAAUGACUUGUGCUGUGGCCCUCUGUAAAAUGCACUUGGUGACCUCC